AGAUCUGUUAUAAAAAAGAUACUGCAAACGAAAAAAAAAAAAAAAAUUAAUUAAAAAUUAUAUAGAUCUAAUUCAGCAUUUAACCCCUUAGGGUGUAGGGUAUCUAACUGGUAUACCCAUUGCAUUUCAGUUUGACCGAUCUUUUUUAUAGCAUCUCCUCCUCUCCAGUGAUUCUUGACUAUUUUUAUCCCAAUAAAUGUGAGCUGUUUAGGGUCAUUAUUAUGCAUGCAAAAGUGCGAUGGUAUUGAGUGAUUGUGCAGACCUUUUUCAAUGUUCCUGCAAUGUUCUGCAAUUCUGAUUUUUAAUGGCCUGAUUGUUCUACCUACGUAUUGGAAGCCACAUGGACAC